rnacentral:rRNA from 2 species
AAGUCGAGCGGACUGAUUAAAAGCUUGCUUUUAUGAAGUCAGCGGCGGACGGGUGAGUAACACGUGGGCAACCUGCCUGUAAGACUGGGAUAACUUCGGGAAACCGGAGCUAAUACCGGAUAACACAAGGAACCUCCUGGUUCCAUGUUGAAAGAUGGUUUCGGCUAUCACUUACAGAUGGGCCCGCGGCGCAUUAGCUAGUUGGUGAGGUAACGGCUCACCAAGGCGACGAUGCGUAGCCGACCUGAGAGGGUGAUCGGCCACACUGGGACUGAGACACGGCCCAGACUCCUACGGGAGGCAGCAGUAGGGAAUCUUCCACAAUGGACGAAAGUCUGAUGGAGCAACGCCGCGUGAGCGAUGAAGGCCUUCGGGUCGUAAAGCUCUGUUGUUAGGGAAGAACAAGUGCGAGAGUAACUGCUCGCACCUUGACGGUACCUAACCAGAAAGCCACGGCUAACUACGUGCCAGCAGCCGCGGUAAUACGUAGGUGGCAAGCGUUGUCCGGAAUUAUUGGGCGUAAAGCGCGCGCAGGCGGUUUCUUAAGUCUGAUGUGAAAGCCCACGGCUCAACCGUGGAGGGUCAUUGGAAACUGGGGAACUUGAGUGCAGAAGAGGGAGAGUGGAAUUCCACGUGUAGCGGUGAAAUGCGUAGAGAUUGUGGAGGAACACCAGUGGCGAAGGCGACUCUCUGGUCUGUAACUGACGCUGAGGCGCGAAAGCGUGGGGAGCAAACAGGAUUAGAUACCCUGGUAGUCCACGCCGUAACGAUGAGUGCUAGUGUUAGAGGGUUUCCGCCCUUUAGUGCUGCAGCUAACGCAUUAGCACUCGCUGGGGAGUACGGUCGCAGACUGAACUCAAAGAUGACGGG